rnacentral:rRNA from 1 species
GAUGAACGCUGGCGGCGUGCUUAACACAUGCAAGUCGAACGGUGAAGCCCAGCUUGCUGGGUGGAUCAGUGGCGAACGGGUGAGUAACACGUGAGCAACCUGCCCUGGACUCUGGGAUAAGCGCUGGAAACGGCGUCUAAUACUGGAUAUGAGACGUGGCCGCAUGGUCAACGUUUGGAAAGAUUUUUCGGUCUGGGAUGGGCUCGCGGCCUAUCAGCUUGUUGGUGAGGUAAUGGCUCACCAAGGCGUCGACGGGUAGCCGGCCUGAGAGGGUGACCGGCCACACUGGGACUGAGACACGGCCCAGACUCCUACGGGAGGCAGCAGUGGGGAAUAUUGCACAAUGGGCGGAAGCCUGAUGCAGCAACGCCGCGUGAGGGAUAACGGCCUUCGGGUUGUAAACCUCUUUUAGCAAGGAAGAAGCUUUUGUGACGGUACUUGCAGAAAAAGCGCCGGCUAACUACGUGCCAGCCGCCGCAGUAA